rnacentral:misc_RNA from 1 species
AAGGCAUGGCUGAACAAAGAGUGCAGCAUACACAUACGAAGCCAAAGGUCAUUUCCGAUGGUGACGAUGAUGAGGGUGUCAUAUUCGAAGAGGAUGAUGAUGAUAACGAUGGAUACCUAUUCACUGGGCAAUAUGAUGAGACCGACGAGGACAUCAAGAUCGAUGGUACUCAAGAUGAAUCUAUUGACACUGAUUUGCCUGACACGUACAACAAGGUGUACAGUAACGUGCCUGAAGAAACACAUAUGCUGAAGUCUGUUCCCAACUGCGGUUAUUGCAAUGCGAAGAAGUUUGAGUAUGAG